GUGAAUCAUCAAAUCUUUGAACGCAAAUUGCACUCUCUUCGGAGAGUAUGCCUGUUUGAGGGUCAGCCUAAAAAAAAUCGACGUAGUCGCUGUUUCGCGGUGACAUUCGUCGGGAGUUGGGUCAUCUUAAACCUUUUGGUUUUAAGCGGCUUAAAAUUUUCUUUACGAUUCCACGAACGUUUCUAAGUUUUUACUUCUUUCAUACGUUUAUGGUAUCGAUCUUUUUUAUAUGUUGUCGUUGCAUCGGA
rnacentral:misc_RNA from 1 species